rnacentral:rRNA from 1 species
UACGAAGGACCCGAGCGUUAUCCGGAUUUAUUGGGUUUAAAGGGUGCGUAGGCGGACUUAUAAGUCAGUGGUGAAAUCUCCCAGCUUAACUGGGAAACUGCCAUUGAAACUGUUUGUCUUGAGUACAUUUGAGGCGGGCGGAAUGUGUCAUGUAGAGGUGAAAUUCUUAGAUAUGACACAGAACACCAAUUGCGAAGGCAGCUCGCUAAACUGUAACUGACGCUGAGGCACGAAAGUGUGGGUAGCAAACAGG